rnacentral:rRNA from 1 species
UACAGAGGUCCCAAGCGUUGUUCGGAUUCACUGGGCGUAACGGGUGCGUAGGUGGCCAGGUAAGUCUGAUGUGAAAUCUCGGAGCUCAACUCCGAAACUGCAUUGGAUACUAUCUGGCUGGAGGGUCGGAGGGGGGACUGGAAUUCUCGGUGUAGCAGUGAAAUGCGUAGAUAUCGAGAGGAACACCAGUGGCGAAGGCGAGUCCCUGGACGACUCCUGACACUGAGGCACGAAAGCUAGGGGAGCAAACAGG